rnacentral:lncRNA from 1 species
GUCGCAUGCAGAGGAUCCCUGAGAGCUCUGGAAGAAUUUGUUGGAAGUGGGUUUUUGGAAUAAGAAACUGCGUGAGCAAAGAGACUGGGAAGUCCAAGAGCAUGGAGCUGGCAUCUGGAGAGGGCCCUUGGGCUGCAUCAUCCCAUAGUGGAAGGCAAAAGGGUAAGAGAUUGUGCAAGAGAGAACAAGAGGGAAGGGUGCUGAGCUCAUCCUUUUACCAAGAACCCAAUCCCACGAUAACCAACCCACUCCCAUGAUAAUGGCAUUAAUCAUUCCUUAAAGGUCCUACAUGUCACCACUCUUGCACUGGGGAUUACAUGUCCAAUAUGUGAACUCUGGGGGAUACAUUCAAAACUUAGCAGAGGGGAAGAGGCUCCCAGUGAGUCUUGCUCUUCUCUGAGUCUAGAGCAAACCUACCAAACACAGAAUCAUUGAUGACACAGAGACAAUGGCCCGACUCAUGGCCCUAUCUGCCACUCUAAGCCAUUGGACUCCUGUGAGCCUCACCAGGUUACAUAGGGAAGCCCCAACCUGUGACUCACAAGAGCUCACUCCCAAGUCUGCUCUGCCAGAUGCUACGGUGGCUCUGGUUGUCACUGUUAUGUGGACUAUUAUGUCUACUGUGCACCUGCCAGAUAUCCUCUGGGUACGUUGGUGCCAUACCUUCACCCUGUGACUGAGGCGCAGGAGCCCUGGGGUUGCCCCACUCACCCUUCCAGGGAGGAAUGAGUCCUCCCAUUUUACAGAUGAGGUAACAGAGGCUCAGAGAGGCAAAGUGAUGGGCUGUGGGACACACAUCUGGAAAAUGGUACAGUCAGCACAUACACACGCACACAUCUGGCUGUGCUCUGGUUGCCUCUAACAAGCAUUUAUUGAGCCCCUGCUGUAUACCGAGCAUUUGUGAUAUUUGUGAGCAUAGUCAUUACCUACAUCCUCUCAUAGGCUGGAGGCAGCGUAAGAGGAAGGAGAUCCUCCUACAUGGCGUGAUGGGUGCAGCAGCAGCAGCAGGAGACACUCAUGCAAUGUGCCAGGCACACACCCAAGGAUGUCUCAUCACUCCAUGCCACAGCCCUGUGGUCACGUGGUGAACAUUGCUUGGGUGGCGAUGAGCAGCCAGCCUUGGUCCAGCCCCUGUUCUCAAGUGUGGGCGGUCUUGGGUUGACUGGGGUGGGAGGAGGUUAGGAAACAAGCCCUGUGACCAUUGGACCUUUCUCUGGUGGGCGUGGGUGGUGUGAGCUUUAUGUCUUUGCUCUCAGGACAACACAGAGCAGCUGAUAAUGCUGCUGUUCAUUGACCCUGUGAUGGUACUGCGGUGUAGUUUAUACAAUUGAAUCUUUGGAUUUCACUUACUACCUGAGGGUGGGUUUUUAAUGGUCUGUUAUUAUUAUCUCCAUUUUACAGAUGAAGAAAACUGAGGUUCAGAGAUU